UUUUCAUCAGACAAUCUGUGUGAGCACUGCANNNNNNNNNNNNNNNNNNNNUUCUUUAAGGUAAGGAGGUGAUCCAACCGCAGGUUCCCCUACGGUUACCUUGUUACGACUUCACCCCAGUCAUGAAUCACAAAGUGGUAAGCGCCCUCCCGAAGGUUAAGCUACCUACUUCUUUUGCAACCCACUCCCAUGGUGUGACGGGCGGUGUGUACAAGGCCCGGGAACGUAUUCACCGUGGCAUUCUGAUCCACGAUUACUAGCGAUUCCGACUUCAUGGAGUCGAGUUGCAGACUCCAAUCCGGACUACGACGCACUUUAUGAGGUCCGCUUGCUCUCGCGAGGUCGCUUCUCUUUGUAUGCGCCAUUGUAGCACGUGUGUAGCCCUGGUCGUAAGGGCCAUGAUGACUUGACGUCAUCCCCACCUUCCUCCAGUUUAUCACUGGCAGUCUCCUUUGAGUUCCCGGCCGGACCGCUGGCAACAAAGGAUAAGGGUUGCGCUCGUUGCGGGACUUAACCCAACAUUUCACAACACGAGCUGACGACAGCCAUGCAGCACCUGUCUCACGGUUCCCGAAGGCACAUUCUCAUCUCUGAAAACUUCCGUGGAUGUCAAGACCAGGUAAGGUUCUUCGCGUUGCAUCGAAUUAAACCACAUGCUCCACCGCUUGUGCGGGCCCCCGUCAAUUCAUUUGAGUUUUAACCUUGCGGCCGUACUCCCCAGGCGGUCUACUUAACGCGUUAGCUCCGGAAGCCACGCCUCAAGGGCACAACCUCCAAGUAGACAUCGUUUACGGCGUGGACUACCAGGGUAUCUAAUCCUGUUUGCUCCCCACGCUUUCGCACCUGAGCGUCAGUCUUUGUCCAGGGGGCCGCCUUCGCCACCGGUAUUCCUCCAGAUCUCUACGCAUUUCACCGCUACACCUGGAAUUCUNNNNNNNNNNNNNNNNNNNNCCCCCCUCUACAAGACUCAAGCCUGCCAGUUUCGAAUGCAGUUCCCAGGUUGAGCCCGGGGAUUUCACAUCCGACUUGACAGACCGCCUGCGUGCGCUUUACGCCCAGUAAUUCCGAUUAACGCUUGCACCCUCCGUAUUACCGCGGCUGCUGGCACGGAGUUAGCCGGUGCUUCUUCUGCGGGUAACGUCAAUUGCUGCGGUUAUUAACCACAACACCUUCCUCCCCGCUGAAAGUACUUUACAACCCGAAGGCCUUCUUCAUACACGCGGCAUGGCUGCAUCAGGCUUGCGCCCAUUGUGCAAUAUUCCCCACUGCUGCCUCCCGUAGGAGUCUGGACCGUGUCUCAGUUCCAGUGUGGCUGGUCAUCCUCUCAGACCAGCUAGGGAUCGUCGCCUUGGUGAGCCGUUACCUCACCAACAAGCUAAUCCCAUCUGGGCACAUCUGAUGGCAAGAGGCCCGAAGGUCCCCCUCUUUGGUCUUGCGACGUUAUGCGGUAUUAGCCACCGUUUCCAGUAGUUAUCCCCCNNNNNNNNNNNNNNNNNNNNCCAUCAGGCAGUUUCCCAGACAUUACUCACCCGUCCGCCACUCGUCAGCAAAGCAGCAAGCUGCUUCCUGUUACCGUUCGACUUGCAUGUGUUAGGCCUGCCGCCAGCGUUCAAUCUGAGCCAUGAUCAAACUCUUCAAUUUAAAAGUUUGAUGCUCAAUGAAUUAAACUUCGUAAUGAAUUACGUGUUCACUCUUGAGACUUGGUAUUCAUUUUUCGUCU
rnacentral:rRNA from 1 species